rnacentral:rRNA from 1 species
CUACGGGGGGCACCAGUGGGGAAUAUUGGACAAUGGGGGAAACCCUGAUCCAGCAAUGCCGCGUGUGAAGAAGGCCUGCGGGUUGUAAAGCACUUUCGGUUGGGAGGACUGCUUCUAGCACUAAUAUUGUUGGAAGUUGACGUUACCUUCAGAAGAAGCACCGGCUAACUCCGUGCCAGCAGCCGUGGUAAUACGGAGGGUGCAAGCGUGAAUCGGAAUUACUGGGCGUAAAGCGCGCGUAGGCGGCUAGAUCAGUCGGGUGUGAAAGCCCCGGGCUUAACCUGGGAACUGCAUCCGAUACUGUCGAGCUUGAGUACAGGAGAGGAGAGUGGAAUUCCACAUGUAGCGGUGACAUGCGUAGAUAUGUGGAGGAACACCAAUGGCGAAGGCAGCUCUCUGGCCUGAUACUGACGCUGAGGUGCGAAAGCGUGGGGAGCAAACAGGAUUAGAUACCCCGGUAGUC